ensembl:lncRNA
CCCCUCAGAGCCAGCAGACCCCCUGGCCGGGGACACGGUGCCAACCCCGCUCCAGUGCCCCCCCCGCAGUGAGACGGAGGACUGGAGAGCCAAUGACUGACCACUCCAGCCUGCAUCGUCUCGUCAGGAAACCAAACUGACCAAGAAAAACAAACGGAAGAAAAAAAAACAUGUCCCUGUAUGCACCAUAAGGAAACGAAAAAACAUUCAAAACGCGGUCAACCGGGAAACCACACGAAAGAUCCUCCUUUUUGGUUUUUAAGUAUUUUAACCAGCUGUACGUUCAUGACCUUCAAGACUCUCCCCAGCCUGGGAAGUGGUGUUUCCCCGCUCUGUCCAGUACUCACCGUCCCGGUCGGUCAAUGAAGGGAAAAAAAUUGCACUUUUUAGAGUAUGUUUCCUCUGGCCUGUUAGAACAUGGCGCGUUAUUGGGGUCAUAACAUGAGCACUUAGUGUCCCCUCGUUGUCCGUUUUUAUUCAUUUUCAGAGGUAGUUUUGAAAGCUAAUUUGGACAUUCAGUAUAACUAAUGAACCAGAGGGCCUCCUAGGACUCCCUCUGCAUUGGCCUCUCAGCAAGGGCCCCUCCACAUGAGCCCCUCAGACGGGGCCCCCAAGAAGGGGUCUCAGCAGGGGGCCCACAGGAGCGACACGAGGGAACAGUUUGGUCCUAUCAUUAGUUUGGAACCAUCGUAGUUUCUUGAAAGACAAAGUGCGAUAAAUUAGACUCUGUUACAAUGCCGUUACAAUUUGUGCUCGGAAAACAAACAUCACGUCCUUAAGUUGGAUGGUGGAAAUGGAAAGUUGGAAAAUAUAUAUCGAUGACGUGAGAUAGACCUUUUUUUUUUUUUUUCUUAUUGUGAUUUUAUUUUGGCGUCCUUUUGUAGCAAGGUCCGUCCUAGCCUAGAUGUCUCCAUCUGCGGUGAGCAGUGUGAUGUUCCUUAUGUUCUGCUUCAGGAGGUCGGAGGAGUCACUAGCCACAGAGUUCACUUCUCUAAAUGGUCCAAAAAAAAAUAAGAAUCAACAAAUCUAUUGACAUACUUUUUCAGGAUUUGGGUCCGGGGUUUGGUCGCUCAACCCAAAUCUUUUUUUAAUGAUGACUUUAAUCUCCAUUUCUCUGUACAUCAUGUUGUAGUUUACAUGCUUGGGGAAACAAGUUGAUUUGAAGUGUGCGGAAUUUGGUGUUACAGACUGAAGGAAGGGUGACGCUGUGAACUGAGGGAUAUCGCACCUUAAAACAGCUCGAUAGGAGACCGCCGUCCGUACUAUGACAACAGAAUCCUCACUUUUUAUCCAAUUUUUAUAUUUUUUAUUGUUGGUUUUCCAUUUCGUUUUUUUGAUGUCUACAUUACGAGCGUGUAUUAAUAUUAUCUUUGUAGCCUAUAUCUACUCUUUCCAGUAUCAUGUGUGUUGGACGUCUGCGCGUGUGUUUCUGAAUGCAUGCCCUGGAGAAUCCCUUAUCAAGUACUUUCAGUUUACUUCUCAGUGCAGACAUUUGUUUAUCGGUGGACAAAGGAUGAAGAAUAACUUGAAUGUUGUCCAAAACAAACAAACAUCACCCACACACAUACACACUUCCUCUGCAUACGACAUCAUUGACCUAUAAUCAGAUACCUAACAGCAUGUCCGCUAGCCAGUGUUAGAGAACUCAUCGGAGGCAUCGAUGGACUUCUUGUCUGUGUUAUUACUACAGUGUGUGCAUUUUGUGAUAUAAAAUAAGUGCGUGUCCGUUCAGUUUCUGUAUGUUUUUCACACUGCUUGAGAGGAGCAGCAAUUGAAUUAUUAUACAGUAGAAAUCAACCUUUCCUCAGUAAAUCAUUACCUUCGUAGUAUUGACAGUUCCCUCCGGCAGUUUGUAUUGGACGGAAAAACGAGAUGUUGAGGUUUUCUUUAUGAAAUAUUGGGAAGAAAAUAAAAGAUGUGACGAGGAAAAUGUUUUUGUGUCAUUAAUAGUCAACGAUGUCUAACCUUAAUACAUACUCAUUUGAUCAACG